AAAAAAUUAAAGGUCGAACAGACCUAGUAACAUAGCUACUGCACUAAUGCACUUAUUUUAAUCCAACAUCGAGGUCGCAAACUCCUUCACCGAUAUGAACUCUCAAAAGAAAUUACG
rnacentral:rRNA from 1 species